UACGGGGGGAGCAAGCGUUGUUCGGAUUUACUGGGCGUAAAGGGCGCGUAGGCGGCCAGCACAAGUCAGUUGUGAAAUCUCCGAGCUUAACUCGGAACGGUCAACUGAUACUGUGCGGCUAGAGUGCAGAAGGGGCAACUGGAAUUCUUGGUGUAGCGGUGAAAUGCGUAGAUAUCAAGAGGAACACCGGUGGCGAAGGCGGAUUUCUGGACCAGUUCUGACACUGAUGAGCGAAAGCCAGGGGAGCAAACAGG
rnacentral:rRNA from 1 species